UUGGGAGGCGGAGCUUGCAGUGAGCCUAGAUCGUGCCACUGCACUCCAGCCUGGUGACACUGCCAUGCUUUGAUAAUUCCACACCACAGAGAGGCCAUGAGCUGGUCCACACCCUAGCUGAGCCCCCAGCCAGUGACGGCAUCAACUGCAGCCAUGUGAGUGCAUCAUCUUGGAUGCAGCCCUGUUGAGCCUUCAGGUGAUGCCAGCUCCAGCCACUCUCUGCAGUAC
rnacentral:lncRNA from 1 species